UACGAAGGGGGCGAGCGUUGUCCGGAUUUACUGGGCGUAAAACGCUUGUAGGCGGUCACGCCAAGUCGGAUGUGAAAUCUCCCGGCUUAACUGGGAGGGGUCAUUCGAUACUGGCGGACUCGAGGCAGGUAGGGGGAAGCGGAAUUCCCGGUGUAGUGGUGGAAUGCGUAGAUAUCGGGAGGAACACCAGUGGCGAAGGCGGCUUCCUGGACCUGUUCUGACGCUGAGGAGCGAAAGCGUGGGGAGCGAUCCGG
rnacentral:rRNA from 1 species